GAUGAACGCUGGCGGCGUGCCUAAUACAUGCAAGUCGAGCGAACAGACGAGGAGCUUGCUCCUCUGACGUUAGCGGCGGACGGGUGAGUAACACGUGGAUAACCUACCUAUAAGACUGGGAUAACUUCGGGAAACCGGAGCUAAUACCGGAGAAUAUAUUGAACCGCAUGGUUCAAUAGUGAAAGACGGUUUUGCUGUCACGUAUAGAUGGAUCCGCGCCGCAUUAGGUAGUUGGUAAGGUAACGGCUUACCAAGGCAACGAUGCGUAGCCGACCUGAGAGGGGGAUAGGCCACACUGGAGCGGAGACGCGGUCCAGAGUCCUAAGAGAGGCAGCAGAAGGGUACGGGCGGCAGUAGGCGGAAGCCUGACGCAGCGACGGCGCGUGUGUGACAAAGGUCUUCGGAUCGUGAAGCUCUGUUUUUGGGUAAGAACAGAUGUGGACGUAAAUGUACACGUAUUGACGGUACCGGGUAAAGAAGCCACGGCUAACUACGUG
rnacentral:rRNA from 1 species